GAAGUGCCAUCCAUGGGGGAGACAAGACCCAAAUAAGGCACCAGCCUGGCUGCUUGGACACGAGCUGUGGGCUGAGGCAGGGAGUGAGAGGCACCGGCAAUCCAAACCAGACGGGUCUUUCUGGCCAGCCCCCAGCAGGGAGGCUGCCUGGCCUUGCUCCGGGUCCCAGUGUGCUCAUGGAUUUUUGCUCAGGCUGGGCGACUUACCUAAGAGUUCCAGAGGCCUGCAACUUGCUCAGUUCUAACAGACGGGGACACAGUGCCCUCCCCUGGUCCUAGGAACAGCCCUAUGGAUGGGCGAAUAGAAUCCUUCCUGCUUUCCUCCUGGGGAAACCGAGGCAGAGGAAUGAAGUGCCUCCACCUCCCAAAUGUCACGAUUACAGGUGUGUACCAUCACAUCUAGCUUUAUUUCUUAAUUUUAGAGGAGGCUCUCCCUAUGUAGCCCAGGCUGGCCUCAGACUUUUAAUCCUCCUGCCUCAGCCUCCUUAGCGUUAGGAUUAGCAGUGCGUACCACCAUAGCUAGCUUCUUUUUCCUUUUUUCCCCACAGCACUUUCUAUGUGUGCGUGCCAUUGAAGAUGUACUGAUUAUAGCAGUUCCCAGACGACUGGCACUUGUCUGUCCCUUGACUUCAGCUCCUGUCACACCAGGACAAGGACCUUGGCUAUCUUGUACUUGCCAAGAAAAGUCCUGCAGGCACCUUGAUAAAACUUCAGUUGUGAGCACACUCACACACAGGCCAGAAAGCCAUUCACUCCCUGGAAGAACACGAGCCGGCCAAACCGUGCAGGUGACAGACACAGCAGCCCUGAGGUUCAGCACACAGAUGCUCCUGUGGCACACAGGGUGUCCCCGAGUUAUUGACUUGUGGCUGGAAGUCAUUUUCCAAAGAAUUUGGUUUGGGAUAUUUAGCCAAGAGCCAUUAAGAACUAGAAAAAAUGGCCAACAGGGCCGAGGGGGUGGGGCUCAGCUAGCAAAGUGCUCAGUGUGCAUAGUUCAAGCCUUAGCACCAGUGUAAAAACUGGCUGUGGUGUACACGCCUAUAAUCCCUGUGCUGGAGACGUGGAGAUGGGAGGGGGGACCUGAGGCUUACGGCAGCCCAGCCUAGCUGAUUGCCGAGCUCCAGGGCCGGUGGGAGGCCCUGUCUCAAAAGAAAAGUAGGAAGAGCGAGGGAGACACCUAAUAUCAAGCUCCAGACUCCAGAAGCACACACCUGUGCUUGCCCACACAUGUGUACACACACAUAUCCACACACGUGUCACACAUACCCAUGUACACACA